AAAAGAGAAGGACUCAAACC
rnacentral:tRNA from 1 species